GACGAACGCUGGCGGCGUGCCUAAUACAUGCAAGUCGAACGAGAGCACCCGGUGCUUGCCCUGGUCAAUCUAGUGGCGAACGGGUGAGUAACACGUGGGUAACCUGCCCAUCAGAGGGGGAUAACAUCCGGAAACGGAUGCUAAAACCGCAUAGAUCUUCGAACCGCAUGGUUUGAAGAGGAAAAGAGGCGCAAGCUUCUGCUGAUGGAUGGACCCGCGGUGCAUUAGCUAGUUGGUGAGGUAACGGCUCACCAAGGCCGUGAUGCAUAGCCGACCUGAGAGGGUGAUCGGCCACAUUGGGACUGAGACACGGCCCAAACUCCUACGGGAGGCAGCAGUAGGGAAUCUUCCGCAAUGGACGCAAGUCUGACGGAGCAACGCCGCGUGAGUGAAGAAGGUUUUCGGAUCGUAAAACUCUGUUGUUAGAGAAGAACAAGUGCUAGAGUAACUGUUAGCGCCUUGACGGUAUCUAACCAGAAAGCCACGGCUAACUACGUG
rnacentral:rRNA from 1 species